UAUUCAGCUCUUUUACAGGAACCCUGGAUUUGCCAGGCUGGAUCAAACCCAAUCUCUGUCUCCAACAGCAGCCAGUGUUGCUGGCUUCCAUGGUAGCACACGAAUCCCCUGCAGCAGGAGUGCUGCUGGUAACCCAGCCAGGCAGCAGGCUUCCUUCCCACCACCCGGGAAGACGUGGGUGAUGUGUUGGAGCAACGAGGUUUAUCUCCGUUCUAUAGAUUUUAAUGCCCACUGAUCUGGUGCCCUCACCUCUUGCUAUUAUUUACUCUGGAGAAAAGCAAAUAAAACCCUGCAAGUUGAGCUGAGGCCACUAAUGCAGUUUGCGCAAAUACUGCACUGGUGUAAAUGAUGCUGCAGGAUGGCCAUCAGGCUCACAAGGGCGUGGGUUUGCUCUUUCCCAUUAUGACCACUGAAUAUUUUAACUACUGACAUGUAUGGCCAAUUGUUAAUUGUUUUAAUCUUUAAGCUGGUUUAAGCCCCCUUGUGUUUCCCCCCCCACCAGCAGCUCCCUGCCUUCGGCUUCCCUGCACUGACCUAACGCCCACACUGAGUGCCCAAACAAACGCCAGGGAGGCUGAACCACCACAAUACAACUUGCCAAAGGGGCUGAUCCUGGCUCAGCCAAACCUGAAAGCGGGGAGAGGAGGAGAAAACGGGGACCCACUCAAAAUGAGACAGCUGUGGAGGGAAAUGGGUGCAGGGACAGAGAGAGAAGAGGAGUGAGAUCGCUAAACAGAUGGCUGGGGGAAGAGCCAGUGAAAGAGAAGAGAAGCAGACAGAUGGAGGACAGAGAGGAGUGGGGGUUUUCUGUUGAUGGAUAAACACAAGAAGCAACAAGUUGGAGGUUCUGACCGGCCAGGGAACUGCUCUUCCAGAGAUAUGAAAACCUCGACAGCGUUGGAAAGCUCAGCCAGGUGUUUUACCAAUGUUACUGGCAGCUGCGCACCAUCCCAGCAAGACGAGGGAGAUCGAGGUGCUGAAAGCAAUUAGAAGUGAGCUGGAAGUAAAGCAUGCUAACCUAAGCUACCUGUCCAGAGUUUCCUUGUCAACAAAAGCAAAAUAUACAAACUCCAGAGGAGAGACGUCCUGUAUCAUGGGGGACUACUGGAGCCUGCUGCUGCGAGGGAACAUUGCUGUGUUAUCUGAUAGUUGUGAGCAGCACGUUUGGGCCCCUUCCUGGCUGAUGUUACUUACUGCCAGCAUCUGCCUCCAACCUUCACUGCCUUGCAGCAAGCAGUGGCUGCCCAGGCAGGGAUGCAAACCAGCCCACGCAUGUUUAUGUGCAAAAUAAAACUAAGUGGACUUGAAGGAUGCUGCUCGAGAGAGACUGCUUAAAGGAGGAAGACAACAUCCAUAGGUGAGGUGAGGACAAUGCCAUGCUCCAUCCCAUACGGUUGUCCCAUGCAGCCUGGCUGUCCCUGUCUGGCACCCUCUCUGUUGGCAGGGUGACAGUUAACGUGAACAGCUCAAAGACACUUUGCCAACAGGGGUGGAUUAAACUCAGCUUCAUUGCUGUCAGGGGCUUCUCUAGCUCUUCCCUGGCUAGUGAAAAUGUUUGGAAAGUUGGCCAGUGGGUGUAUUAAUUGGCUUGUGUGAUAUUUAUUUGAAUUUUAAUUGGAUGAGAAAUCAAUAGAAAUAACUAUUAUUAUGAAACUGAAUAAUGAAGCAGCAGUAGAAUUAGUGACCCAUUUUUAGCAGAAAGAAAUACUUUUUUAUUACUUAAAACAAGCUUAAAUUAACAACUGCAGAUAAUGGUUCCCCAGAGUUAGAUAAGGGGUUAAGGAUCAUUGCUCGCAGCGAUGACAGGCUACUCACUAAAGUUGGUGAGUUAUGUUUCAAGGUUAGGGUUUAUAGCUCGGAUAUAUUGUCUCCAAGUGAGUGAAACUUGGUUGACUGGCAUGCCAAAUGACUCACAAAUUGACCUGAAAAAUAGCUUUGCCCCCUGCAGCCCCUGUUGUGUAAAUGAUGUUUUGGAAACCUCCGAUUGUGUGGCCAGUUAUAAGAUUCAUCUCAUUUGAAGGAGAAGUGGAAAAGAUGAGUGUAAUCUGGAAACAAAGGACCCUGUGCCCCCAGAUUUUGGCACAGGAGCUGAGCUGCUGAUGCCAGUUGAAAGGCUGCUGUCGCUCGUUGCGGCUUUGGGAAGUGACGAGGUCGACACCUUAUUUCAGAAAGACGUUUCUCAGCCUGGCCCUACAGCUGGCAGCGUCAGCACAGUGGAGGGGCCGUGCACGAGGAAUGAGGACGAAGUUGCCCUGAAAGCUUUAAUCUUGUGAAACCUCAGCCCGGUUCUCUCAGUGCCUUGAGCCUGCCUGAAUAUGCAUUAGAUCAGAGCAAUGCUACCCACUGAUGUUCAGGAGGUUCGGUGUUAAUGGGUUAGACACGCUUAGAUUAGAAGUUGAGUUUCGGUGCAGUUCUGCCUCACCAGCAGCUUUGCAGGGCCAGAUGAGAAUCCGUUUGUGACAAAAACCUAAAAAUAUCAAACAACUCUGGCAAACUGACUGGCCCUUUAUUGCGAACGAUGUCGGGCCCUUUGUGGAGACAUUUAUCCCAGCACUGAUUGCCCGUGGCCAGCCCAGUCCAGGUGCCAGAGUCCAGCUGCAGGGCACCAGAAAAUCAGUCACAUUUUCAUCCAGAUGUCACCAAGGGGAAGUUUCUUUCAUGUUUCUGUCAUAUUUAAUGGUGUCUGAGCUUAAAAUAAACCUACUAAAGGCUCGGCUUCACCUUGGAUUGCUGCUCCUCUGUAAUCAUUUACGCUGGUAAAAGUGGUGUAAUUCACAUUUCAUUUAUGCCCACGACACGGUACAUGCAGCAGCAGGGGAACCUGGC